AAACUAUAAUCCCUUCCUUCAAUCCAUCUUCUUCCUUUGGUUACUCUCUCUCUAUUGCUUUAACUUUAACCACCAACAAAACCCAUCUCCAUUUUCUUCAUACUUGUCUUCCACUUUUAUGGCUUCCUAGUCCCCACUUCCACUGCAAAAAGUGGACUCCAACACCCUCCAUUGACUCUUUCUUCUCUCUGUUCACACCCUUCUCUUGAUUUCUGAUACUGGGUCUCCAUCCACGAAUUUUUGGAAACGACGAUGAGUGCGAUGAGUUUAGGAACCUCCUUCCAAUCCUGCUCCAUUUUCACUCAA
rnacentral:misc_RNA from 1 species